rnacentral:snRNA from 1 species
AGCCGUGUGAUAUGUACAAAGCGAACUAUUCUUUCGCCUUUUACUAAAGAAUACCGUGUACUUUUCACAAUAAACGGCAUACGCUAAUUUUUAUACAUGGAUCUUUCAUAGAUCCUU